GACGAACGCUGGCGGCGUGCCUAAUACAUGCAAGUCGAACGCAGUGGGGACGGGUGAGUAACACGUGGGUAACCUCCCAUCAGAGGGGAUAACACUUGGAAACAGGUGCUAAACCGAUACUGAUGGAUGGACCAGGGGUGCAUUAGCUAGUUGGUGGGGUAACGGCUCAACAAGGCCACGAUGCAUAGCCGACCGGAGGAUGUGAUCGGCCACACUGGGACUGAGACAAGGACCAGACGCCUACGGGAGGCAGCAGUAGGGAAGCUUCGGCAAUGGACGAAAGUCUGACCGAGCAACGCCGCGUGAGUGAAGAAGGUCUUCGGAUCGUAAAACUCUGUUGUUAGAGAAGCGUUAUCUAACCAGAAAGCCACGGCUAACUACGUGCCAGCAGCCGCGGUAAUUC
rnacentral:rRNA from 1 species